rnacentral:rRNA from 1 species
GACGAACGCUGGCGGCGUGCCUAAUACAUGCAAGUAGAACGCACAGUUUAUACCGUAGCUUGCUACACCGUAGACUGUGAGUUGCGAACGGGUGAGUAACGCGUAGGUACCCUGUCUGGGAGCGGGGGAUAACUAUUGGAAACGAUAGCUAAUACCGCAUAAUAUUGAUUAUUCCAUGAUAAUUGAUUGAAAGAUGCUAUUGCUUCACUACUAUAUGGUCCUGCGUUUUAUUAGCUAGUAGGUGAGGUAACGGCUCAUCUAGGCGAAGAUACAUAGCCGACCUUGGAAGGUGGAUCGGCAAAACGGGACUGAGGAAACGCCCAAGCUCCUAAGGGAGGCAGCAGUAGGGGAAUAUUGGCAAUGGGCGGAAAGCUUGCCCAACAAAGACGGGGGGGUGAAGGAGGUUUUCGGAUCGGAAAAGUCUGUUGUAAGGGAAGGAAGGGUGGGAGAGUAGAAAGUUGCCGCUGUGACGGUAUCUUACCAGAAAGGGACGGCUAACUACGUG